rnacentral:misc_RNA from 1 species
GAAGUUUUUGAAGUCAACAUGGCUUUGAAUUUGUCAAAUCCACUAUCAAGCAUGCAAAGUCAUUAUUCCAACUCCAAAUUUAAUAAAACAAAAAUCUGUAUAAUGAAUUAACGUUUGUCAUUUUCAUCCAACCACUGAAAGUCAAAACUUAUACCAAUUUAGUCAAAGUUUAAUGCCAACCCAAUAAGUAACAAAAGCAACAGAUAACCAUGCAUUUGGAAUAAAU